rnacentral:rRNA from 1 species
UACAGAGACUGCAAGCGUUAUUCGGAUUCACUGGGCGUAAAGGGUGCGCAGGCGGUUGGGUGUGUCAGAUGUGAAAUCCCUCGGCUUAACCGGGGAACUGCGUCUGAUACUGGAUGGCUUGAGUGUGGGAGAGGGAUGCGGAAUUCCAGGUGUAGCGGUGAAAUGCGUAGAUAUCUGGAGGAACACCGGUGGCGAAGGCGGCAUCCUGGACAAUUGCUGACACUCAGGCACGAAAGCGUGGGGAGCAAAAGGG